rnacentral:rRNA from 1 species
AUUGAACGCUGGCGGCAUGCCUUACACAUGCAAGUCGAACGGCAGCACGGGUGCUUGCACCUGGUGGCGAGUGGCGAACGGGUGAGUAGAGCAUCGGAACAUGCCCAGAUAUGGGGGAUAGCCCGGCGAAAGCCGGAUUAAUACCGCAUAAUGCCUGAGGGAGAAAGCGGGGGACUCGUAAGGGCCUCGCGUAUUUGGAGUGGCCGAUGUCGGAUUAGCUGGUUGGUGGGGUAAAGGCCUACCAAGGCGACGAUCCGUAGCGGGUCUGAGAGGACGAUCCGCCACACUGGAACUGAGACACGGUCCAGACUCCUACGGGAGGCAGCAGUGGGGAAUUUUGGACAAUGGGGGCAACCCUGAUCCAGCCAUGCCGCGUGAGUGAAGAAGGCCUUCGGGUUGUAAAGCUCUUUCGGUGGGGAAGAAAUGGUCGUGGUAAAUAAUCGCGAUUGAUGACGGUACCCAAAUAAGAAGCACCGGCUAACUACGUGCCAGCAGCCGCGGUAAUACGUAGGGUGCGAGCGUUAAUCGGAAUUACUGGGCGUAAAGGGUGGGCAGGCGGCCUUGUAAGACAAGCGUGAAAUCCCCGGGCUUAACCUGGGAAUGGCGCUAGUGACUGCAAAGCUGGAGUACGGCAGAGGGAGGUAGAAUUCCACGUGUAGCAGUGAAAUGCGUAGAGAUGUGGAGGAAUACCGAUGGCGAAGGCAGCCUCCUGGGCUGAUACUGACGCUCAAGCACGAAAGCGUGGGGAGCAAACAGGAU